ACUGAAUUAUGGAGAAAUUGAUCGCGUAGACACGCCCACCUGCGCGCGCCUGUCUGUCACACAAAAUCAGUUCUCUUCAGACUUCGCGCUCUUUUCUUCUGAGUGGAUUUUGCGAGAUUACAGUAACAGAAGAACCAGCGCCAACGAAAAUGUUAUUUUAAUCGGAAAACAUGGAUUACAAUAGUUUGCGUAUAUUGAGAGAGUAAUCGGGUCUGUUUCCACAUGACGACAAAUCCACAUUGAAGUCUUGGUCAGAGACGUGAGACACUUCUCGUCCCCGUAUGGUGCAACGCUGUGUUGGAGUGCUUGAUAAGAACACAACAGCAAGAAGACUGCAGGUUUUUACCUUUAUUGUUACUAAGUGCAUACUGACAUUUCACAAGAAAUUCAUAUUAUACGAAGACUUGCUACUGUGUCCGGAUGUUGUCCUUCAUUCUGCAGCUUCUUUGCUCUGAAAAUAAGAACAUAUCAGAGUCAUUAUGGCAAGGGCCUCUAUGGGCUCUUUGAGAAAUCAGUUUAUGCGUGAGUUUCAUGCAGAGCUCCUGCACAUCAGCCUGUCUGCAACGUUUAGAUCCAUCUCUAACCAGAUAAUCAUGAUCAAUUUGCUGAACUGAGUUAUUUUAGUCACUGAAGCUGCAUGGACAGAAGCUUUCACUCACACGUUUUACACGGAUGGAUGGAAAGGAAUCUGUUUGGAGGAAAAUCCCAGCAAGCAGCAUUUGUAAAUGAUGUCAUCCUGAAUAUGCUGGAUGAUCGAGACGAAGUACUGGGAUGCACUCCAUAAAGUCAGGAGCAGAAAUGACAUCUCUCAUCAUUUAGUCCUCUUAAACUAUGCCCCUGCAAUCUCACGCUCAUCUGGCUCCUUUUGUCAGUGCAACGCCCUCAUAUUAACUUCCAAUCAACAACCGAUGCAGAGAACAAAAUUCCCAGUCUACGUCACAAUGUGGAAGAAAAGUUGCAUACAAUUACACAAGAGGAUGAGUGCAAGAUGAUGUCUGUCCGCCUCACCAACAAACCACUCAAAGACAGACAAGCAGCAGCAAACACCGCACAGUGGUUGGAGGAAAUAGCAAAACAUUGCUGAUGUAUGCUGUCCUUCCAUACAAUCGUACUCAGCAGCAGCAGCAAGCAGACAAUUAAAGUGGCAAGCAGUGAUGAAAGGGCCCUCGCACCCGGGCUUACCGCCACCCGUUGGCCUUAGGAAAACAGUGAACAGUAGGUGACAUGCAUGUAAGCGAG